rnacentral:rRNA from 1 species
AGUCUGGUGCCAGCAGCCGCGGUAAUUCCAGCUCCAAUAGCGUAUAUUAAACUUGUUGCAGUUAAAAAGCUCGUAGUUGAAUUUCUGCUGCAUCGUGGUUCUUCGCUAUGUCGAGUGGGCCUCGUUGUGGCUUAGUUGGGGCAUGUUUUCAUGACUCGACGUUUACUUUGAGAAAAUUAGAGUGCUUCAAGCAGGCUUUUGCCUUGAAUACUUUAGCAUGGAAUAAUGGAGUAGGACUUUGGUUCUAUUUUGUUGGUUUUAGGAGCCGGAGUAAUGGUUAAUAGGAACAGUUGGGGGCAUUCGUAUUUGACUGUCAGAGGUGAAAUUCUUAGAUUUGUCAAAGACGAACUACUGCGAAAGCAUUUGCCAAGGAUGUUUUCAUUAAUCAAGAACGAAAGUUAGGGGAUCGAAGACGAUCAGAUACCGUCGU